rnacentral:lncRNA from 1 species
AGGCAAGCAAGCAAGACAUCAUGCCAGAAGAAGACGAUCGAUCUAGGGUUUGGAUACCAAUUGAAGGCUGCAACCGAUUCAUCUCAUCAUACGAAACAAAGGAGGGAUAGGGCUUUUGCCUCAAGAGUGUAAGCACAAAUGGUUUGUGGCAUAGUAGUUUGUUUAUAACCACUACAAAGAGGAAGAAGCUGCAUUGAGCUCAACGUCCAUCUAUUAACACAACAAAGGCUCAUCACGGUUUCAGUUUGGUUGGUGAGUGAGCGGAAUCUGUUCAGGAGGAGGGCGGAAGCCAAACGGGCUGAAUGAUAUAUACUGGGUUGAAACAUUUAACUAUGCGGACAAAGGGCUGACAAAAGCUUAUAGAACUACUGCCGUGGGCAAAAUCUCAAGUUACAUGUGGUGCUGUUGAUAAUUGUGUAGACCAUCAAAAACAUGAUCUCUUUUGUUGCCUCGAUUAUUUUAAAUAGACGGUUUCCACUUUCUAACAUCUUUUUUCAUUUCAGGUAUCGGCCCUCAUACCGUUCAUAUUUCAUAUAUCAGGAGGAUUUUAGAAUGAGAAAUCAAAAUCUAUAUAUAUUCUAAAGUUUAGUUAUAUGUUCUAUUUUAAAACCAAAAUUUAUGGUU